GGAUGAACGCUAGCGGCAGGCUUAACACAUGCAAGUCGAGGGGUAUAGCACUUCGGUGCUGGAGACCGGCGCACGGGUGCGUAACGCGUAUGCAAUCUGCCUUUCACAGAGGGAUAGCCCAGAGAAAUUUGGAUUAAUACCUCAUAGCAUAACACAAUCGCAUGAUUGAGUUAUUAAAGUCACAACGGUGAAAGAUGAGCAUGCGUCCCAUUAGCUGGUUGGUAAGGUAACGGCUUACCAAGGCUACGAUGGGUAGGGGUCCUGAGAGGGAGAUCCCCCACACUGGUACUGAGACACGGACCAGACUCCUACGGGAGGCAGCAGUGAGGAAUAUUGGUCAAUGGGCGCAAGCCUGAACCAGCCAUGCCGCGUGCAGGAUGACGGUCCUAUGGAUUGUAAACUGCUUUUGUACGAGAAGAAACACUCCUUCGUGAAGGAGCUUGACGGUAUCGUAAGAAUAAGGAUCGGCUAACUCCGUGCCAGCAGCCGCGGUAAUACGGAGGAUCCAAGCGUUAUCCGGAAUCAUUGGGUUUAAAGGGUCCGUAGGCGGUCCUGUAAGUCAGUGGUGAAAGCCCAUCGCUCAACGAUGGAACGGCCAUUGAUACUGCAGGACUUGAAUUGCCGGGAAGUAACUAGAAUAUGUAGUGUAGCGGUGAAAUGCUUAGAGAUUACAUGGAAUACCAAUUGCGAAGGCAGGUUACUACCGGCGGAUUGACGCUGAUGGACGAAAGCGUGGGUAGCGAACAGGAUUAGAUACCCUGGUAGUCCACGCCGUAAACGAUGGAUACUAGCUGUUGGGGGCAACUUCAGUGGCUAAGCGAAAG
rnacentral:rRNA from 1 species